CACGUGAGUACCCCAAAAUAGCACAAGAAACCAGACCCACGAAAUACAGCAGUGGUGGAAAAAGGAAAACCCCAGUGCAGGUCUCUGCUCGCCCUCAUUCUCUCCUAUGACAACUGCAAGUGGAGCAAGGAUCCAGAAGCUCUGAGUUUUUGACAUUACAGCUCUUAUUAUUCAAGAGCAAAGAAAGAACUUCUCUCUAGCUUUCAAGUACCAAGUUCCUUAAAAAGAAGAAGAAGGAGGAGGAAAAGGAGGAGGAGGAGAAGACAAUGACCUUGAUUAGUCCUAACUGGGCCACAUGUCCUCCCUUGGAUCAUACCUGGGGCAAAGGAAUUAGGCACCAAGACUGGCUGUUCCUCAUUCGUGUGUCUACUCUUUCCUCUGGAGUGAUGUUAACAUCAGCCCCACCAGAGUCAAUGUUGGAGACAGACAGCAAUGGAGGGAACACAAAGAAGGAACGUGGGAGAGAGAGAAGCAGGCUUCCUACUGAGCAGGCAGCCUGAUGGGAUCAUGACCUGAGCCGAAGGCAGACGCUUAAUGACUGAGCCAUGCAGGUGCCCUUCUUUUUGUUAAAUUUAGAUGUAACUACAUUUAUUGAGCAAAUGAUAAUAAUAGCUAUGGCAUAACUUAUCACAUUAACACAGCUAACAUCUAUUGAACACUUACUACCUUGCCUGGUAGGCACUGUGCUACAGACCAC